GAUGAACGCUGGCGGCGUGCCUAAUACAUGCAAGUCGAGCGAAUGGAUUAAGAGCUUGCUCUUAUGAAGUUAGCGGCGGACGGGUGAGUAACACGUGGGUAACCUGCCCAUAAGACUGGGAUAACUCCGGGAAACCGGGGCUAAUACCGGAUAACAUUUUGAACCGCAUGGUUCGAAAUUGAAAGGCGGCUUCGGCUGUCACUUAUGGAUGGACCCGCGUCGCAUUAGCUAGUUGGUGAGGUAACGGCUCACCAAGGCAACGAUGCGUAGCCGACCUGGAAGGGUGAUCGGCCACACUGGGACUGAGAAACGGCCCAGACUCCUACGGGAGGCAGCAGUAGGGAAUCUUCCGCAAUGGACGAAAGUCUGACGGAGCAACGCCGCGUGAGUGAUGAAGGCUUUCGGGUCGUAAAACUCUGUUGUUAGGGAAGAACAAGUGCUAGUUGAAUAAGCUGGCACCUUGACGGUACCUAACCAGAAAGCCACGGCUAACUACGUGCCAGCCGCCGCCGUAA
rnacentral:rRNA from 1 species